AUUGAACGCUGGCGGCAUGCUUUACACAUGCAAGUCGAACGGCAGCGCGGGCUUCGGCCUGGCGGCGAGUGGCGAACGGGUGAGUAAUACAUCGGAACGUGCCCAGUAGUGGGGGAUAGCUCGGCGAAAGCCGGAUUAAUACCGCAUACGACCUGAGGGUGAAAGCGGGGGAUCUUCGGACCUCGCGCUAUUGGAGCGGCCGAUGGCAGAUUAGCUAGUUGGUGGGGUAAAGGCCUACCAAGGCGACGAUCUGUAGCUGGUCCGAGAGGACGACCAGCCACACUGGGACUGAGACACGGCCCAGACUCCUACGGGAGGCAGCAGUGGGGAAUUUUGGACAAUGGGCGAAAGCCUGAUCCAGCAAUGCCGCGUGUGUGAUGAAGGCCUUCGGGUUGUAAAGCACUUUUGGCGGGAACGAAAAGGACUGUGCCAAUACCACGGUUCGAUGACGGUACCCGCAGAAUAAGCACCGGCUAACUACGUG
rnacentral:rRNA from 1 species